CCCACCCCUCCCCGCCCCGCCCCGCCCCAGCCGCGGCCCGCUCGGCGUCGGCGCGUCCAAGCCAUGCCCUGCCCGGGCCCCACUCUGGCCGGCCGUUGGCCACCGGAUCCAGUGGCAGGAUGAGGCGGAUCCAUGGCGGACGUCAACAGCGGCGGCGGCGGCGGAAGCGUCCGGUGGCAGACGUCGUCUACUCUUUCCAUCUAUCCGUCCGUGUUCUUCUUCUUCCCCCCAACCAUCAACCCCACGUCGAUCGCGCUCCAACUACUGCCCUGCCCCCGCAGUUGUUUCGAUCUGGUGUUUCGGGGGAAGCGUGAUCGAUUCGACGUGCUGCGGCGGCGGUGGCAUACUCGUUUAUUGGCUUAUUGCUCAUCAAUUGUGGUGAAAUUUUGCUAACUUCGACCAGCCCUAUGAUUAAUAUUGCAUUUUGGGUUUGGGAUUCUCCUGAGUUUUUGUAUUGCUAAUGUCGUAACACUGCAGGCUUGGUGUCUCCUUAUCUAUUGUUGAUUGAUUAUUGCUAAAUUUGUCUGGCAGGAAAUUCGCUAAGCAGUCGAGGCAUUUUGUAUCAAGGUCAUGUUAACCGGCAUUCGACCCCAGUGGUGACCCCUACUGUAUUAUCGUUGGUGGUUAUAACCAGUGCACUAAUUGAAGGCAAACUACUCGUCAUUUUCUUCAUUGGUGUUUGUAGCAUUAGUAUGAAGGCAAGCUGCUCCUUAUCAUAUUCCUCUGUUCAUACCUGUAUGUUGCCAAAAACUUGUAUGUUAGUUGGCAGAUAGCAGAAUCGAAUGACUUGAAUAUUUCCUUCAAGAUAAUGAUUUUCUCUUUGAAUGUCAUUCUGCUAUUGUUUUUGGAGCAGAGCUAGACCCGGCCACAUGCCUAGUGUUCUAUCAAUAAUGAUUCUCUUCGAAUGUCA